rnacentral:misc_RNA from 1 species
GAGAAGGUUAACAACGCUGUGCUGUUCGAUCAGGCGAGCUAUGAUAAGAUGAUUGCCGAGGUUCCCAAGUUCAAGCAGAUCACACCGUCGGUGCUGUCUGAGAGGCUGAGGAUCAAUGGUUCUCUUGCAAGGAAGGCAAUCAAGGACUUGAUGGCCCGUGGUGCCAUCCGUGUGGUAACAGCACACUCCAGUCAGCAAAUCUACACCCGGGCUACCAAUACCUAGAAGUCUAGAAGUCCUCUGCUUGUGAUGUUAUCUCCCAGUCGUCUUUAGGAGCCUUUUUCAGUUAACCAGUUUUACUGGUGCUUUUGUUAUCAACUAUUUGUGUUAUUGAACUUGCUGUUUUUUCUGAGCUGGUGAAAGUAGAUUGAUGGUUUAA